rnacentral:lncRNA from 1 species
UUCAAGUAACACUAUCCAGCACCCAGUUUCAAGCCUUUCCCCUGAAUCUUUAGUAUUAAAUUCUGUGCUUAUCACCUGUCUGACCAACUGUUCCCAUCCAGAGCGCAGGCUACAAUUGCUCUUGUCAGCGUGCCACUGACUGCAUUGGCUUUCUGGUUAAAUUACUGCUGCUUCUGAAAAGGAGGAAAUAAUUCACCCUCAUCCUCUUCCUUCUUCCUGGCACUGACAUUCUUGCAGCCAUACUGUAACCCAGAUGAAGAUUAAUUCAGCUGAAAAUGUACAGGAUGUAAAAGUUACUUUUUAAAGGUGUACCUAAGAAGAUUCUGUUCAAGAGAAGGUGGAAGUAAUCAGCUUGGGGAAGGCAAGGCUCUUUCUUCCCCUGUUGCAUCUUCAGAGGCUCCAGUAUCUUCAUCAUUCAGAGCAGAUUCAUGUGAAUUUUUGCAAUCAGGAGAAAAAAAAAAAAAAGCAUUCAAGAAAAGGAACACUGCACCUUACGUACAGAAUCUACUUAUCAACAGUUAAAUCACCUUGCAGAGUGAGGCUCCUGGUUUAUGUGCUGUGCAACGUGGGGGCAGGACCCACGAGUUUAAAAGCAGAGGCAAGGACCUUUGUCACAGUGGCUGUGCC